UGGAGAGGGAGAUCUGGGGCCUUCAGUAAAUCCUGCAGCCGGUACUCAGGAUGUUCCUGACUCAAUAAACCUCCCAAUUGCUGGGUGUUUCAUUCAUCAUCUCAUUGAACGCAAUUGGUCAGCCUGAGGGCAGGGAGAUCUGGUUUCUUCAAUAAAUCCUGCAGUGAGGCACAGCGGCGAUCCUGUGAGGGACCAGUAUGCAAUGGGAUGUUAGACAUCUCAGCUGAGGCUUGAGGCCUACCAUUACCUGGAAGUCACAAAGGGAGAGAACCUGUGAGAGAGAGCAGCACA